AUGAACGCUAGCUACAGGCUUAACACAUGCAAGUCGAGGGGCAGCAUUUCAGUUUGCUUGCAAACUGGAGAUGGCGACCGGCGCACGGGUGAGUAACACGUAUCCAACCUGCCGAUAACUCGGGGAUAGCCUUUCGAAAGAAAGAUUAAUACCCGAUGGUAUAAUCAGACCGCAUGGUCUUGUUAUUAAAGAAUUUCGGUUAUCGAUGGGGAUGCGUUCCAUUAGGCAGUUGGUGAGGUAACGGCUCACCAAACCUUCGAUGGAUAGGGGUUCUGAGAGGAAGGUCCCCCACAUUGGAACUGAGACACGGUCCAAACUCCUACGGGAGGCAGCAGUGAGGAAUAUUGGUCAAUGGGCGCAGGCCUGAACCAGCCAAGUAGCGUGAAGGAUGACUGCCCUAUGGGUUGUAAACUUCUUUUAUAUGGGAAUAAAGUUUUCCACGUGUGGAAUUUUGUAUGUACCAUAUGAAUAAGGAUCGGCUAACUCCGUGCCAGCAGCCGCGGUAAUACGGAGGAUCCGAGCGUUAUCCGGAUUUAUUGGGUUUAAAGGGAGCGUAGGUGGACAGUUAAGUCAGUUGUGAAAGUUUGCGGCUCAACCGUAAAAUUGCAGUUGAUACUGGCUGUCUUGAGUACAGUAGAGGUGGGCGGAAUUCGUGGUGUAGCGGUGAAAUGCUUAGAUAUCACGAAGAACUCCGAUUGCGAAGGCAGCUCACUGGACUGCAACUGACACUGAUGCUCGAAAGUGUGGGUAUCAAACAGGAUUAGAUACCCUGGUAGUCCACACAGUAAACGAUGAAUACUCGCUGUUUGCGAUAUACAGUAAGCGGCCAAGCGAAAGCAUUAAGUAUUCCACCUGGGGAGUACGCCGGCAACGGUGAAACUCAAAGGAAUUGACGGGGGCCCGCACAAGCGGUGGAGCAUGUGGUUUAAUUCGAAGCAACGCGAAGAACCUUACCAGGUCUUGACAUCGAUCUAAAGGCUCCAGAGAUGGAGAGAUAGCUAUAGAGAAGACAGGUGGUGCAUGGUUGUCGUCAGCUCGUGUCGUGAGAUGUUGGGUUAAGUCCCGCAACGAGCGCAACCCCUGUUGCCAGUUGCCAGCAUUAAGUUGGGGACUCUGGCGAGACUGCCGGUGACAAGCCGGAGGAAGGCGGGGAUGACGUCAAAUCAUCAUGCCCCUUAUGACCUGGGCUACACACGUGCUACAAUGGCGUAAACAAAGGGAAGCGAACCUGCGAGGGUGGGCAAAUCCCAAAAAUAACGUCCCAGUUCGGACUGUAGUCUGCAACCCGACUACACGAAGCUGGAAUCGCUAGUAAUCGCGGAUCAGAAUGCCGCGGUGAAUACGUUCCCGGGUCUUGUACACACCGCCCGUCACACCAUGGGAGUCAGUAACGCCCGAAGUCAGUGACCUAACUGCAAAGAAGGAGCUGCCGAAGGCGGGACCGAUGACUGGGGUG
rnacentral:rRNA from 1 species